UGGGGAAUUUUGGACAAUGGGCGCAAGCCUGAUCCAGCAAUGCCGCGUGCAGGAAGAAGGCCUUCGGGUUGUAAACUGCUUUUGUACGGAACGAAAAGGUUCGGGUUAAUACCCUGGGCUCAUGACGGUACCGUAAGAAUAAGCACCGGCUAACUACGUGCCAGCAGCCGCGGUAAUACGUAGGGUGCAAGCGUUAAUCGGAAUUACUGGGCGUAAAGCGUGCGCAGGCGGUUUUGUAAGACAGGCGUGAAAUCCCCGGGCUCAACCUGGGAAUGGCGCUUGUGACUGCAAAGCUGGAGUGCGGCAGAGGGGGAUGGAAUUCCGCGUGUAGCAGUGAAAUGCGUAGAUAUGCGGAGGAACACCAAUGGCGAAGGCAAUCCCCUGGGCCUGCACUGACGCUCAUGCACGAAAGCGUGGGGAGCAAACA
rnacentral:rRNA from 1 species